rnacentral:rRNA from 1 species
UACGUAGGGGGCAAGCGUUGUCCGGAUUUAUUGGGCGUAAAGAGCUCGUAGGCGGUCUGUCGCGUCUGCUGUGAAAACUCAGGGCUUAACCCUGAGCUUGCAGUGGGUACGGGCAGACUAGAGUGCGGUAGGGGAGACUGGAAUUCCUGGUGUAGCGGUGGAAUGCGCAGAUAUCAGGAGGAACACCGGUGGCGAAGGCGGGUCUCUGGGCAGUAACUGACGCUGAGGAGCGAAAGCGUGGGGAGCGAACAGG